GAUGAACGCUGGCGGCGUGCCUAAUACAUGCAAGUCGAGCGAGCAGACGAGGAGCUUGCUCCUCUGACGUUAGCGGCGGACGGGUGAGUAACACGUGGAUAACCUACCUAUAAGACUGGGAUAACUUCGGGAAACCGGAGCUAAUACCGGAUAAUAUAUUGAACCGCAUGGUUCAAUAGUGAAAGACGGUUUUGCUGUCACUUAUAGAUGGAUCCGCGCCGCAUUAGCUAGUUGGUAAGGUAACGGCUUACCAAGGCGACGAUGCGUAGCCGACCUGAGAGGGUGAUCGGCCACACUGGAACUGAGACACGGUCCAGACUCCUACGGGAGGCAGCAGUAGGGAAUCUUCCGCAAUGGGCGAAAGCCUGACGUAGCAACGCCGCGUGAGUGAUGAAGGUCUUCGGAUCGUAAAACUCUGUUAUUAGGGAAGAACAAAUGUGUAAGUAACUAUGCACGUCUUGACGGUACCUAAUCAGAAAGCCACGGCUAACUACGUG
rnacentral:rRNA from 1 species